rnacentral:rRNA from 1 species
GACGAAGGAUCCAAGCGUUAUCCGGAUUCAUUGGGUUUAAAGGGAGCGUAGGCGGACUUAUAAGUCAGUGGUGAAAGCCGAUAGCUUAACUAUCGAACUGCCAUUGAUACUGUAAGUCUAGAGUACAGAUGAUGUUGGCGGAAUAUGACAUGUAGCGGUGAAAUGCAUAGAUAUGACAUAGAACACCAAUUGCGAAGGCAGCUUACUACACAGUUAUUGACACUGAGGCACGAAAGCGUGGGGAUCAAACAGG